GCGGCGUGCUAUACAUGCAGUCGAGCGAACAGACGAGGAGCUUGCUCCUCUGAYGUUAGCGGCGGACGGGUGAGUAACACGUGGAUAACCUACCUAUAAGACUGGGAUAACUUCGGGAAACCGGAGCUAAUACCGGAUAAUAUAUUGAACCGCAUGGUUCAAUAGUGAAAGACGGUUUUGCUGUCACUUAUAGAUGGAUCCGCGCCGCAUUAGCUAGUUGGUAAGGUAACGGCUUACCAAGGCAACGAUGCGUAGCCGACCUGAGAGGGUGAUCGGCCACACUGGAACUGAGACACGGUCCAGACUCCUACGGGAGGCAGCAGUAGGGAAUCUUCCGCAAUGGGCGAAAGCCUGACGGAGCAACGCCGCGUGAGUGAUGAAGGUCUUCGGAUCGUAAAACUCUGUUAUUAGGGAAGAACAAAUGUGUAAGUAACUAUGCACGUCUUGACGGUACCUAAUCAGAAAGCCACGGCUAACUACGUGCCAGCAGCCGCGGUAAUACGUAGGUGGCAAGCGUUAUCCGGAAUUAUUGGGCGUAAAGCGCGCGUAGGCGGUUUUUUAAGUCUGAUGUGAAAGCCCACGGCUCAACCGUGGAGGGUCAUUGGAAACUGGAAAACUUGAGUGCAGAAGAGGAAAGUGGAAUUCCAUGUGUAGCGGUGAAAUGCGCAGAGAUAUGGAGGAACACCAGUGGCGAAGGCGACUUUCUGGUCUGUAACUGACGCUGAUGUGCGAAAGCGUGGGGAUCAAACAGGAUUAGAUACCCUGGUAGUCCACGCCGUAAACGAUGAGUGCUAAGUGUUAGGGGUUUCCGCCCCUUAGUG
rnacentral:rRNA from 1 species